rnacentral:rRNA from 1 species
ACGCGUGGAACCUUACCAGGUCUUGACAUCCCACUGCCCGGUAUAGAGAUAUACCUUUCCCUUCGGGGACAGUGGUGACAGGUGGUGCAUGGUUGUCGUCAGCUCGUGUCGUGAGAUGUUGGGUUAAGUCCCGCAACGAGCGCAACCCUUGAUCUUAGUUGCCAGCAUUUAGUUGGGCACUCUAAGAUGACUGCCGGUGACAAACCGGAGGAAGGUGGGGAUGACGUCAAAUCAUCAUGCCCCUUAUGACCUGGGCUACACACGUGCUACAAUGGAUGGUACAAAGGGCUGCGAGACUGCGAAGUUAAGCGAAUCCCAUAAAACCAUUCUCAGUUCGGAUUGCAGGCUGCAACUCGCCUGCAUGAAGCUGGAAUCGCUAGUAAUCGCGGAUCAGCAUGCCGCGGUGAAUACGUUCCCGGGCCUUGCACUCACCGCCCGU